CGUAAUUGCGACGUAUAUACUUGCCUCGCGUUAUGUCGCAAAUCUCACCACGAUCGGCUUUCUCAUCAGACACGGUGCCUGGGCUGGACAGAGGUUACGGAGUAAUGGUAUCCGAGAUACUUGAAAGAGGGGAAAAAGUUGAAAAGCUGGAAAAGAAGACUGCGAUGUGAUCCUAUUUAUGAGAACCUGUUUCAACGUCACGCCGGCAUGACUUCAGAUUUAAACCGCUGGACGGCGAAAUUUACAAAGUAUUGCGGAAACGUGAUAAAACUCUCAAUUACGUGCUUAAAUGGCAUUGUUUGCCGCUGCUCACGUCACGGGCCGUGCUUUCGGGCACGGGACGUUUAUCGUAUUAGCAUUUUUCCUGCAUAUUGAAUUACUUGUAUUUCAGGUAUUUCAAUGUGUUCUUUUUCAUAUAUUUUUUUUUUUAAGAAAUCGGACUUUGUAAGCGCUACCAGAGAGAAGAUGAGAGUACCCAGGCCGAAGGGGACACAGCUAUCAAAUAUUUGCGACACGAGCGCCGUUAUUCCUGCGGAUGCCUGUAGUACCCGCGGCACCGUUUCAAUAAUAGGACGAAGGUUAAAGCGCCAUCUCUGAUUCAAGCCGGUCGUAACGUGUAACGUGGCGUAGCGUGCCGUACUCAUCUCUCUGGCGCUAUAGAGCAUCUCUGCUACAAAGACGCAUCGAGAAAGUAACUACUCUGAAUUACCUGCCGAAAAUUUCACACUGUACAAGUUUCGUCACUUCUCCUCAGAUGGCGCGCACUGCGCGGCAAAGACCGGAAUUUUAUUACAUAUUUUAUUUAUUAGGAUGGAAUGUGUACCUCGUUAAUUAUUAAAGUCUCCAAGGAGAGCACGUUUAUUUAUAUUUCAUUGGUACAAUGUAGAAAGAAGUUCGCAGCUACGAGGUUAAGGGUAAACAACGGAAAGUGCUAUUAGGUACUUUAUUAAAAAGUAAUACAUAAUAGCUACAAUAAAGUUGUGCCAAUGUGUACGCACAAUAUAAGUCACGAAUAACUUUGAGCAACAGGAUUCCUCGGGCAUGUCGGCACAUGCACACAAUCCGCGAUUUUGUAUCAAUGUACAAACAAUGAAAAAUACGUCUCGUGUAGGGAACGAAGUACAAAUAUUCAGUCUGUAGCGAGAGUGAUGUUUAGUCGUCAUUAUGGCAGAUAACUAAUUCUGGAAAAACCUUACGUCUUAUGGUUUGUUAAAUGUCAAUGAAUUAGACAAGUAUCGAACGAAUUUCAAUUACAUCGUAGGCAUAUAUCAUAUUUUCUGUACACCCGUCUCAUGUACGUAACGACGGUAAAAGAGCUUGGAAUUUGGCACAUUA